AGGGUUGUGGCUCAGUGGCAGAGUACUUGUCUGGUAUGCAUGAGGCACUAGGUUCAAUCCCCAGCAUCACAU
rfam:Ictidomys tridecemlineatus contig098682, whole genome shotgun sequence.